AUUGUAGAGCCUUUAGAAAAAUACAGAAGAACACCAAGUAGAAACUAGCCUUCUAGUCUUUAUAGAUAUCAAUUCAACAGUUGUUAUUAAAUUUUGAGCUCAAAUAAUAUGUCUUGUUCUGGGUUCACUGUGACCACCGUGAUAUUGUUUAAAUUCCAUCCAUGCAAAUUUCAUGUUUUCGUUUGCAUCUCAUGGGCUGGUGAUUUCUGUCUUUCAGUCUUUUGGUUUUAUUUUUUAGAACGGGCCCCUCAUCAGUCUGAAUGAAAAAGAUACAAGGAGAUUCCGUUUCUCUUACUGAAUUGUAGAUUUUGGUAACAAUGGAUGGCAUUUCAUUUAUAUUAGUGUAGUGUUCUAGAAAGCCUUCGUGGGCAUUUUUGGUUUCGUAGCUGUUAGAUCUCUGGCUGUGGGGCCAGAUCCAGUUUUCUCAGUUUGACUUUAGAAGGUUUCGGCCAUCCCUGAUUUGAAGGAAAAGGGAAACUUAGGAUAAAGCUAUAACCUGGGGAACUGUGUUCUCUUUUUUACAGAAAGACUUUUUAUCCAUCGAGCUGUUUCACGGCAGAGUGAAGGUUAUGACUGACCUGGGUUCAGGACCCCUUACCCUUUUGACAGACAGACGUUAUAACAAUGGAACCUGGUACAAAAUUGCCUUCCAGCGAAACCGGAAGCAAGGAGUCCUAGCAGUUAUCGAUGCCUAUAACACCAGUAAUAAAGAAACCAAGCAGGGUGAGACUCCGGGAGCAUCUUCUGACCUCAACCGCCUAGACAAGGACCCGAUUUAUGUGGGUGGAUUACCAAGGUCAAGAGUUGUAAGGAGAGGUGUCACCACCAAAAGCUUUGUGGGCUGCCUCAAGAACCUGGAAAUAUCCAGAUCAACCUUUGACUUACUCAGAAAUUCCUAUGGAGUGAGAAAAGGCUGUUUACUGGAGAAUCGGAAUGGCUGGUAACAUUUGCCACCACGAACAGCAGUGGCAUCAUCCUGGCUGCCCUCGGCGGGGAUGUGGAGAAGCGGGGUGAUCGUGAGGAAGCACAUGUGCCCUUCUUUUCCAUCAUGCUGAUCGGAGGCAACAUUGAGGUACAUGUCAAUCCUGGGGAUGGGACAGGCCUGAGAAAAGCUCUCCUGCACGCUCCCACGGGUACAUGCAGCGAUGGACAAGCGCAUUCCAUCUCCUUGGUCAGGAAUCGGAGAAUUAUCACUGUCCAAUUGGAUGAGAACAAUCCUGUGGAAAUGAAGUUGGGCCCAUUAGUAGAAAGCAGGACGAUAAAUGUGUCCGAUCUGUACGUCGGGGGAAUUCCAGAGGGAGAGGGGACAUCGCUGCUCACAAUGAGAAGAUCGUUCCAUGGCUGUAUCAAAAACCUGAUCUUCAAUUUGGAACUUUUGGAUUUCAACAGUGCAGUUGGCCAUGAGCAAGUCGACUUGGACACCUGCUGGCUGUCAGAAAGGCCUAAGCUGGCUCCCGAUGCAGAGGACAGCAAGCUCUUGCCAGAGCCCCGGGCUUUUCCAGAACAGUGUGUGGUGGAUGCAGCUCUGGAGUACGUUCCUGGCGCUCACCAGUUUGGUCUCACACAAAACAGCCAUUUCAUCUUGCCUUUUAAUCAGUCGGCUGUCAGAAAGAAGCUCUCGGUUGAGCUAAGUAUCCGCACGUUCGCCUCCAGCGGCCUGAUUUACUACAUGGCUCAUCAGAACCAAGCAGACUACGCCGUGCUCCAGCUGCACGGGGGCCGCCUCCACUUCAUGUUUGACCUUGGCAAAGGCAGAACAAAGGUCUCUCACCCUGCACUGCUCAGCGAUGGCAAGUGGCACACGGUCAAGACAGACUAUGUUAAAAGAAAAGGCUUCAUAACUGUUGACGGCCAAGAGUCCCCCAUGGUGACUGUGGUGGGAGACGGAACCAUGCUGGAUGUGGAGGGUUUGUUCUACCUUGGAGGCCUGCCCUCCCAGUACCAGGCCAGGAAAAUUGGAAAUAUCACCCACAGCAUCCCUGCCUGCAUUGGGGAUGUGAUGGUUAACAGCAAACAGCUGGACAAGGACAGCCCGGUGUCUGCCUUCACGGUGAACAGGUGCUACGCAGUGGCCCAGGAAGGAACAUACUUUGACGGAAGCGGAUAUGCCGCUCUUGUCAAAGAGGGCUACAAAGUCCAGUCAGAUGUGAACAUCACACUGGAGUUUCGAACCUCCUCGCAGAAUGGCGUCCUCCUGGGGAUCAGCACUGCCAAAGUGGAUGCCAUUGGACUAGAGCUUGUGGACGGCAAGGUCUUGUUCCAUGUCAACAAUGGUGCUGGCAGGAUAACAGCUGCAUAUGAGCCCAAAACCACCACUGCGCUCUGUGAUGGAAAAUGGCACACUCUUCAGGCUAAGAAAAGCAAACACCGUAUCACUCUGAUUGUCGACGGGAACGCAGUUGGCGCUGAAAGUCCACACACCCAGUCUACCUCGGUGGACACCAACAAUCCCAUUUAUGUUGGUGGCUAUCCUGCUGGUGUGAAGCAAAAAUGCCUGCGCAGCCAGACCUCGUUCCGCGGGUGUUUGAGGAAGCUAGCUCUGAUUAAGAGCCCACAGGUGCAAUCCUUUGACUUCAGCAGAGCGUUCGAACUGCAUGGAGUUUUCCUUCAUUCCUGUCCUGGGACCGAGUCCUGAACUUCAAGCAGAAUCCUCAUUUGGAAUCAUUGCUGAUAUUUUGAGGAGAAGUGUAUGUGUGAAUUAAGAAUCUCUUCAGUUCAUAUUUCAUUUCCAACUCAGGUUAAGUGUUUCUGGGGAGAGAUGUUGUGUUUACGUUACACUAAAACCACAUGUGCAACAAAUACCUCCAUUAAAUGAUCUAAAAUGU
rnacentral:sRNA from 1 species